UGAGGAAUAUUGCGCAAUGGGCGAAAGCCUGACGCAGCGACGCCGCGUGGGGGAUGAAGGUCUUCGGAUUGUAAACCCCUUUCGGGAGGAAAGAUGGUCGUAUACAACUACGACGGACGGUACCUCCAGAAGCAGCCACGGCUAACUUCGUGCCAGCAGCCGCGGUAAUACGAAGGUGGCAAGCGUUGUUCGGAUUUACUGGGCGUACAGGGAGCGUAGGCGGUCAGGUAAGUUCCUCGGGAAAUCUCCAGGCUUAACCUGGAAAGGUCGGGGAAGACUGCCUGGCUAGAGGACGGGAGAGGAGCGCGGAAUUCCCGGUGUAGCGGUGAAAUGCGUAGAGAUCGGGAGGAAGGCCGGUGGCGAAGGCGGCGCUCUGGAACGUUCCUGACGCUGAGGCUCGAAAGCGUGGGGAGCAAACAGG
rnacentral:rRNA from 1 species